rnacentral:ncRNA from 1 species
UACCUGGUUGAUCCUGCCAGUAGUCAUAUGCUUGUCUCAAAGAUUAAGCCAUGCAAGUCUAAGUACGAGCUCUCGUACAGUGAAACUGCGAAUGGCUCAUUAAAUCAGUUAUGGUUCAUUUGAUCGUACAGUUUACUUGGAUAACUGUGGUAAUUCUAGAGCUAAUACAUGCGAGAAGCGCCGACCUCGCGGGAGGCGUGCAUUUAUCAGACCAAAAACCGGCCGCGUCUUCGGGCGCGUUCGCCUUGGUGACUCUGGAUAACUUUGCGGAUCGCACGGUCUAGCACGGGCGACGGAUCAUUCAAGUGUCUGCCCUAUCAACUUUCGUCGGUACGGUAUUUGCCUACCGAGGUUCUUACGGGUGACGGGGAAUC